rnacentral:tRNA from 2 species
CGGGCCGUGGCUCAGCUUGGUAGAGCGCCUCGUUCGGGACGAGGAGGCCGCGAGUUCGAAUCUCGCCGGCCCGACCA